rnacentral:rRNA from 1 species
UGAGGAAUAUUGGUCAAUGGACGAGAGUCUGAACCAGCCAAGUCGCGUGAAGGAAGACGGUUCUAUGAAUUGUAAACUUCUUUUGUGCAGGAAUAAAGUGGGUUACGUGUAACCUUUUGUAUGUACUGUACGAAUAAGGAUCGGCUAACUCCGUGCCAGCAGCCGCGGUAAUACGGAGGAUCCGAGCGUUAUCCGGAUUUAUUGGGUUUAAAGGGUGCGUAGGUGGAUUGUUAAGUCUGUGGUGAAAGUUUUCAGCUCAACUGAAAAAUUGCCGUUGAAACUGUCGAUCUUGAGUGCAAAUGAGGUAGGCGGAAUGUGUUGUGUAGCGGUGAAAUGCUUAGAUAUAACACAGAACUCCGAUUGCGAAGGCAGCUUACUGGGAUGCAACUGACACUGAUGCACGAAAGCGUGGGUAUCAAACA